GGUUAACUUCUUUGUAUUCUUUGUACUCUUACAAGAUAAUUGGAGACAUCAAAAUACAACCAUGUGCAAAAGAAGCUUCUUUUCAGCUUGAGUCGCAUGUUGCACUAAGCUUUAGGAAAGAGACUAUUAUGAAAAAAGCAAAAGAAAAGACAAAUGAAUUAUUGAGUCCAGGACAUUUCUUCACAGCUUCUACCAAUCUAGAAUUUGGCCUCUAAAAAUAAGGACAAGUCAGCAUUGAAAUGGGCAAAGGCGUAUUCCACCAGCGCAGCAAAGACAAAGACAUAACAGAUCCAGAAGUAGACAUCCAAA